UGUUAGCGGCGGACGGGUGAGUAACACGUGGGUAACCUACCUAUAAGACUGGGAUAACUCCGGGAAACCGGGGCUAAUACCGGAUAAUAUUUUGAACCGCAUGGUUCAAUAGUGAAAGACGGUUUCGGCUGUCACUUAUAGAUGGACCCGCGCCGUAUUAGCUAGUUGGUAAGGUAACGGCUUACCAAGGCGACGAUACGUAGCCGACCUGAGAGGGUGAUCGGCCACACUGGAACUGAGACACGGUCCAG
rnacentral:rRNA from 1 species